AACGGGAGUUCAGCUACUUCCGCACUUCCGUUUGCCUCACUUCCACCUGCGUGAUUACUUUCACUGGGAAGACGAAGGUGACUGAUAUCCCAGAGAAAUUCUGAGGUUUCUUCACAGCUGCAGAAACACCAAUGAGAUCCUCUGUGAACCAAGGACAGCUGAACCAGGCAGAUACAGGCAACACCGGAAGCGAGCCAACGAAGUGACGGGAGCAAGCAGGUCACUCCAAAGGGAGCCUGAGUGAUUGAUGCCCUGGUGUCGUGCUGAUUGACUUCAUGGUUGCAUACCCUGGAAGAAGGGAUGAGGUACAGAUGAGGUUCACCGUGGUGGGGCAAUCACAGGCGCCCAGGACAUACUUCAUCUGUAGCCCCCCCCUCCGCCUUCCCUUCUCCCUAUGGAUGGCUCCUCUGUCCACCCACACACCUUGCAGGUUGCGUGGGGCUAAAGGCAGGGCGGCUUGUCGGCGUAGAAAGCACGACCCCGGCGUGAACACACUUGUUUUGCUUUGGUGUUUGAUGGAGAAUUUAGGGGUCAGUUGGUCUUGAACCGUGCUCUCCCAGGAGGUCAAUACGACCAUUGUGUUCUGACAUGGAAGGGCUGCAGACCAGGGAGUUACCUGUGGUGUACAACUGUCAGUCAGUUAGUACGUGGAUUUAAAGCUCCUGUAUAUCAUAUAAACCAGAUUCCAGAACACCACAAGCUCUUUCAUUUUUCUUGAUUUUUACUGUAAUCUUACAGGAUAACUCGCUUUUAAAAUUUUAAGCUUUAAACCUUCUAAAAAAUGUACGAUUAGAGCUACACUUCAGACAAAGUAUGCACUAGAACUGUAUGUUAAACACAAAGUGCCCUGUGCAUACACAGGCCUGGUACUGUAUUUAUAUUGGGUUUUACUGUGAUGAGAAACAGAUGGAGUGUGUCAAAGAUAAAAGGGAAGGAAGUAUGAAGUAUGACUAAGGUUAUAAUGAUGGGGAGCCAAGACCCAGGAGACCAAAUACACAUUUUCCUCUCUCUCUCCUUCCUGUUCUCUGUUUUGCAUUUGCUGAUUUUUUUUCUUUCUAUUGGCUGCUCUCUAGAUGUUUGCUUAUUUAGCCCCAGACCAGAUUCACACCAAAUCAAUCCGUGGUACCACAGAAGAAUAAUUCCCCUUCCAGCAGUUAUCGGUCCGUGCAGAGAUGGGAAAAAGCUGCAGGAAGGGGAAGUCUUAAGUGGCCGAGUGCCGGCUGGUAGUGAAGCCAGACUAAUAUCAAGCUCAUUGCUCAGUUCUUCAGCCAGUAUCGAUCUACCAUAAUGUAUGUUUAGCUGAUCCUGUUCUGAACUCCUUUCAGUAAACAGGCCCCAGUCAAUACUGUCACACCAUGUUUGACUAACACCGCCAUGCGUUGCCAACAACCAGCACCUCUCUGACUCGCACUGCAUGUCAAAUGAAGCGAGUCGGAGCAAGGACUCGCCUCAAAAUCCAGCCACUCAAAGCCAGCCAACAUUAAACUGCACUCAGAAUGGUCCUAGCGGCAGAGGUGGUGAUGCUAAUGGGCUACAAACUGUCAUGUAGCUGUGUUGUUUGUGUCAUCUCAGAGAGCCAGCCCCCUAUGUGCACCUGCUGCUGCUGGUGGGGUUCAUUAUGGAUUUCUCUAAUGGCUUUUAGAGUUUUAAUAGCAGGGUUUUGCAUGGAGCCGGUAAUGAAUAACUAGAUGUCGUCCCUGUGCCUAAUGAGAGAGCCCACUGUUUUUCAGAGACACAAGGAGGAGAUACGCAUGGCAGGCAGCUCCUGGACUGCAUCUUUAUUUAUUCAUUUGUACGUAUUUGUUUUUGUGAUGGAUUAUUUGUGGAACAGUCUCAGUUUUGGAGGAAAACAUACAGAACUUUUACUGGCUUGCUGGCUUACUUUUUUGUGCAGAGCUGUUUUGUGUAUCAGUUUGUGAAGUUUUUAAGUGCGAAGCCGAGUAUUCAUAGCUCCCCUUAACAGCCAAUAUGCUACCCAGAAGGCUACUGUGUUGGGAUUAUGCACCUGUGGUACUAAUAAGGCUGGCCCGUCUGACAUCAGUCAUACCCACCAGCUGGCUUUUUCAGCUGAGAAAAUAAAGUCCAAAAACAUGAAAGCACAAACUCUGAAUUCUUUACUUCAAAGUGAUCCUGCAUGACCUUUUAUCUUAAAAAACAAAUGAAACAAUGAGAAUAAAAAAACAAACAUCUGUUUGGAACAAUAUCACACUUGAGAGAGUGUUGUUAUACUGAAUAUCAGCACGGCUAAGAUUUUUGCCAAAUGCUGAAAGCAUGCUGAUAUUCAGUACAACAGCAUGGCCUCAAGUGCAAUAUCACUUUCAUACAGCAGUUGACUUACGAAUACAAUAAGUGACAAAGACAAGACAAAACAAGUUUUUUUGUUUAUUUUAUUAGAAACUUGUCUCUGCAUACACAAUAAGCACCACAACUUGACUGAAACUACUCUGUUGCUAAAAAACAUAAAUAUUUUCCUGGACACCUGCUUUUUUUUGGGGCGGCAGUAGCUCAGUCUUGGACUUGGCUGGGGAACCGCAGAGUCGUGGAUUCGAGUCCCAGUAUGGACAAAGUGUGGCAAGUGGACUGGUGGCUGGAGAGGUGCUGGUUCUAUUGCCUGGACACUGCCGAGGUGCCCUUGAGCAAAUGGCAAGGCACUGAACCCCCAACUGCUCGGGUGGCGCUGGUUGAUGGCGGCCUCCUCACUGUGAAAGCUCUCCUGAGUGCAUGUCCAUAGCAUGUUUGUGCAUGAUUGUAUGUGUAUCAAACUAUGUGUGUGUGUAGCAUGAUCAGAAAAGAACACAAGUGAAAAUGAUGAA